GUGAGGAAUUUUCCGCAAUGGGCGAAAGCCUGACGGAGCAAUGCCGCGUGAAGGAUGAAGGCCUAUGGGUUGUAAACUUCUUUUCUUAGAGAAGAAUAUUGACGGUAUCUGAGGAAUAAGCAUCGUCUAACUCUGUGCCAGCAGCCGCGGUAAGACAGAGGAUGCAAGCGUUAUCCGGAAUGAUUGGGCGUAAAGCGUCUGUAGGUGGCUUCAAAAGUCUCCUGUCAAAGAUCAGGGCUUAACCCUGGGCCGGCAGGAGAAACUGUGAGGCUAGAGUUUGGUAGGGGCAGAGGGAAUUCCCGGUGGGGCGGUGAAAUGCGUAGAGAUCGGGAGGAACACCAAAGGCGAAAGCACUCUGCUGGGCCACAACUGACACUGAGAGACGAAAGCGAGGGGAGCAAAAGGGAUUAGAAACCCUUGUAGUCC
rnacentral:rRNA from 1 species